GAUGAACGCUGGCGGCGUGCCUAAUACAUGCAAGUCGAGCGGACAGACGAGGAGCUUGCUCCUCUGACGUUAGCGGCGGACGGGUGAGUAACACGUGGAUAACCUACCUAUAAGACUGGGAUAACUUCGGGAAACCGGAGCUAAUACCGGAUAAUAUAUUGAACCGCAUGGUUCAAUAGUGAAAGACGGUUUUGCUGUCACUUAUAGAUGGAUCCGCGCCGCAUUAGCUAGUUGGUAAGGUAACGGCUUACCAAGGCAACGAUGCGUAGCCGACCUGAGAGGGUGAUCGGCCACACUGGAACUGAGACACGGUCCAGACUCCUACGGGAGGCAGCAGUAGGGAAUCUUCCGCAAUGGGCGAAAGCCUGACGGAGCAACGCCGCAUGAGUGAUGAAGGUCUUCGGAUCGUAAAACUCUGUUAUUAGGGAAGAACAAAUGUGUAAGUAACUAUGCACGUCUUGACGGUACCUAAUCAGAAAGCCACGGCUAACUACGUG
rnacentral:rRNA from 1 species